rnacentral:rRNA from 1 species
CCUACGGGGGGCAGCAGUGGGGAAUAUUGCACAAUGGGGGAAACCCUGAUGCAGCAACGCCGCGUGAGCGAAGAAGGCCUUCGGGUCGUAAAGCUCUGUCCUAAGGGAAGAAAAUUGACGGUACCUUAGGAGGAAGCCCCGGCUAACUACGUGCCAGCAGCCGCGGUAAUACGUAGGGGGCAAGCGGUAUCCGGAAUCACUGGGCGUAAAGGGUGCGUAGGCGGCUAAGUAAGCCAGGGGUGAAAGGCUACGGCUCAACCCCGGGACUGCAUUUGAAACUGUCUUACUAGAGUGCAGGAGAGGAAAGCGGAAUUCCUAGUGUAGCGGUGAAAUGCGUAGAUAUUAGGAAGAACACCAGUGGCGAAGGCGGCUUUCUGGACUGUAACUGACGCUGAGGCACGAAAGCGUGGGGAGCGAACAGGAUUAGAUACCCCAGUAGUC